rnacentral:rRNA from 1 species
UGGGGAAUAUUGCACAAUGGGGGAAACCCUGAUGCAGCGACGCCGCGUGAGCGAUGAAGGCUUUCGAGUCGUAAGCUCUGUCCUAUGGGAAGAUAAUGACGGUACCAUAGAAGAAAGCCCCGGCUAAUUACGUGCCAGCAGCCGCGGUAAUACGUAAGGGGCGAGCGUUGUCCGGAAUUAUUGGGCGUAAAGAGUGCGUAGGCGGCAAAUUAAGUCAGAUGUGAAAACUAAGGGCUCAACCCAUAGAUUGCAUCUGAAACUGAUAUGCUUGAGUCAAGGAGAGGAAAGUGGAAUUCCUAGUGUAGCGGUGGAAUGCGUAGAUAUUAGGAGGAAUACCGGUGGCGAAGGCGACUUUCUGGACUUGAACUGACGCUGAGGCACGAAAGCGUGGGGAGCAAACAGG